rnacentral:rRNA from 1 species
UACGUAGGGAGCUAGCGUUGUUCGGAAUCACUGGGCGUAAAGCGCACGUAGGCGGUUUUGUCAGUCAGGGGUGAAAUCCCGGGGCUCAACCUCGGAACUGCCUUUGAUACAGCAAGUCUUGAGUUCGAGAGAGGUGGGUGGAAUUCCUAGUGUAGAGGUGGAAUUCGUAGAUAUUAGGAAGAACACCGGUGGCGAAGGCGGCCCACUGGCGCGAUACUGACGCUGAGGUGCGAAAGCGUGGGGAGCAAACAGG